rnacentral:rRNA from 1 species
AUUGAACGCUGGCGGCAUGCUUUACACAUGCAAGUCGAACGGUAACAGGCCGCAAGGUGCUGACGAGUGGCGAACGGGUGAGUAAUGCAUCGGAACGUGCCCAGUCGUGGGGGAUAACGCAGCGAAGGCUGUGCUAAUACCGCAUACGAUCUAUGGAUGAAAGCGGGGGACCGUAAGGCCUCGCGCGAUUGGAGCGGCCGAUGUCAGAUUAGGUAGUUGGUGGGGUAAAGGCCUACCAAGCCAACGAUCUGUAGCUGGUCUGAGAGGACGACCAGCCACACUGGGACUGAGACACGGCCCAGACUCCUACGGGAGGCAGCAGUGGGGAAUUUUGGACAAUGGGCGCAAGCCUGAUCCAGCAAUGCCGCGUGCAGGAAGAAGGCCUUCGGGUUGUAAACUGCUUUUGUACGGAACGAAACGGUCUGGGUUAAUACCCUGGGCUAAUGACGGUACCGUAAGAAUAAGCACCGGCUAACUACGUGCCAGCCGCCGCGGUAAUAC